rnacentral:rRNA from 1 species
AAUACCUCAUAGAUUACAAGUCCUGAAAAGGCAGUAAUCCAAAAGAUAUUGAUCUAAUGCCGAAUGAUAUCGCCUUAAGAUGGGUCUGCGGCGGAUUAGGCUGACGGCGGGGUAACGGCCCACCGUACCUUUGAUCCGUACCGGCUAUGAGAGUAGGAGCCGGGAGAUGGAUACUGAGACAAAGAUCCAGGUUCUACGGAACGCAGCAGUCGCGAAAACUCCGCAAUGUCCGAAAGGAUGACGGGGGGACCCUAAGUGAUCCGUUACAAACGGAUCUUUUGUAUGACCUAAAAAGUCGUACGAAUAAGGGCUGGGUAAGACUGGUGCCAGCCUCCGCGGUAACACCAGCAGCUCAAGUUGUGCCCACGUUUAUUGGGUUUAAAGCGUACGUAGUCGGUGAUGCAAGUUCCCUGUAAAACUCCCUGGCUUAACCAGGGAAACGCAGGGAAUACUACACCACUAGGGGUCGGGAGAGGUAUGAGGUAUUCCUCGGGUAGCGGUGAAAUGCUAUAAUCCUAGGAAGACCACCAGUAGCGUAGGCGUCAUACUAGAACGAGCCCGACGAUGAGGAACGAGAGCUAGGGGAGCAAACCGGAUUAGAUACCCGGGUAGUCCUAGCCGUAAACGAUGUAGACUGAGUGUCUCCAUACCCUCGGGGUACGGAGGUGCUGAAGGGAAACCGUUAAGUCUACCAUCUGGGAAGUACGGUCGCAAGGCUGAAACUUAAAGGAAUUGGCGGGGGAGCACCACAAGGGGUGGAUGCUGCGGUUCAAUUGGAUACAACGCCGGGCAACUCACCAAGGGCGACAGCAGAAUGAAGGCCAGUCUAAAGGGCUUGCCUAACAAGCUGAGAGGUAGUGCAUGGCCGUCGUCAGCUCGUACUGUGAAGCGUACGGUUAAGUCCGUUAACGAGCAAGACCCGUGCCCUUAUUUGCAAUCUUAGAGGAGACUCUAGGAGCACUAUAGGGGGACUGCUGGUGAUAAAUCAGAGGAAGGUGCGGGCGACGGUAGGUCCGUAUGCUCCGAAUCCCUUGGGCUACACGCGGCAUACAAUGGCAUAAACAACGGGUUGCAACACCGAAAGGUGAAGCCAAUCCCUUAAAUUAUGUCCUGGUUCGGAUCGAGGGUUGUAACUCACCCUCGUGAAGCUGAAAUCCCUAGUAAUCGCUGGUCACAAUCUAGCGGUGAAUAUGUCCCUGCUCCUUGCACACACCGCCCGUCAAACCAAUCGAGUAAGCUUAGAAUGAGGCUUCAUCAUCCGGUGGAUUCGAGUUCUAGGUUUGCAAGAGGGGUUAAGUCGUAACAAGGUA